rnacentral:rRNA from 1 species
ACGAACGCUGGCGGCGUGCUUAACACAUGCAAGUCGAACCGAAAGGCCCUGCUUUUGUGGGGUGCUCGAGUGGCGAACGGGUGAGUAACACGUGAGUAACCUGCCCUUGACUUUGGGAUAACUUCAGGAAACUGGGGCUAAUACCGGAUAGGAGCUCCUGCUGCAUGGUGGGGGUUGGAAAGUUUCGGCGGUUGGGGAUGGACUCGCGGCUUAUCAGCUUGUUGGUGGGGUAGUGGCUUACCAAGGCUUUGACGGGUAGCCGGCCUGAGAGGGUGACCGGCCACAUUGGGACUGAGAUACGGCCCAGACUCCUACGGGAGGCAGCAGUGGGGAAUAUUGCACAAUGGGCGGAAGCCUGAUGCAGCAACGCCGCGUGCGGGAUGACGGCCUUCGGGUUGUAAACCGCUUUCGCCUGUGACGAAGCGUGAGUGACGGUAAUGGGUAAAGAAGCACCGGCUAACUACGUG